CACACUGAGUGCUGUCAGCACAGGCAGAACUUCUCCUUGGACACAGAGAUGUUGUUCAUGUCAAAGGUGAAUCACAGGACACAGUGGAUCAGGAUGACACUUGGAUAUCCACGGAGGACGUGACAAGAACCCUUGAUGAAAAUAGAGAAGAUGGCAAUUAGCAUGACUGAGGCUAAAGAACUUGAAAGCUGUCAGAGGUUAUCAUCCAUGCUCAUCGGAAACAAAGUGAACACAAGGUUGCCUUGCCUCAUCAUACUGCCGAGAAAUGCUGUGGUGAAACUCCACCCCCGUGUUGAAGCUGACUUGGAUUCCGUGUCUGAGAAGGCCUGAUUCAGCCAGCACACAGGAUGUUGCAGAACAGCUUCCUUUUAGAAGAUGCAUGGUCAGGAAGCAGUACGAUCUCUACUACAAAGACAGGGGCUUCAUCCUGGAAGGAGGAGAACUCUUCAGCAACCACUGGGAAGAACAGUGAGGUGAAGCACAGUAGUUUCAUUUCUCUGUAUUUUAUCUCCAUUAUCCAUUAAUAAAAAUGGAAGUGGCGGAGGGGAAGAAACACUGACCAAGAAAACACUCUUUCAAUUAUGUUCAGAGUACAAUAAUACCACUACUUGUAAAAGUAAAUUGCUGAGCACUAAGAUGCAGUGAGUAAAGACUAGCAUUCAGACAGCAUGAUGGAAGUUAAUAUAACAUUGAUGCUAGCUAUUCUAAUUCUGUGAAGCAUUGCAAAGAUGUUCUGAACACUGUUGAGGUUAAUUAAGCCAGUUACUCACCUCCAAGCUGGAACCAGCUUACGGAAGGUUAAGGCUUUCAACUUAUGUACAACGAUCAAGACAUUCUGGUAGGAAGAACGCUCUGAUCUCUG
rnacentral:lncRNA from 1 species